rnacentral:rRNA from 1 species
GGCCCACCAAGCCGACGAUCAGUAGCCGACCUGAGAGGGUGACCGGCCACAUUGGGACUGAGACACGGCCCAAACUCCUACGGGAGGCAGCAGUGGGGAAUAUUGCACAAUGGGGGAAACCCUGAUGCAGCGACGCCGCGUGAGCGAAGAAGUAUUUCGGUAUGUAAAGCUCUAUCAGCAGGGAAGAAGAUGACGGUACCUGAGUAAGAAGCACCGGCUAAAUACGUGCCAGCAGCCGCGGUAAUACGUAUGGUGCAAGCGUUAUCCGGAUUUACUGGGUGUAAAGGGAGCGUAGACGGAUGGGCAAGUCUGAAGUGAAAGCCCGGGGCUCAACCCCGGGACUGCUUUGGAAACUGCUCAUCUGGAGUGCUGGAGAGGUAAGUGGGAUUCCUAGUGUAGCCGGUGAAAUGCGUAGAUAUUAGGAGGAACACCAGUGGCGAAGGCGGCUUA